rnacentral:sRNA from 1 species
UAUUGUGAUUAUUUUACCUAAGACAGUAGGAGUUAUAGUAUAACUUAAAAAUUAUCCUGCCGAGGCUAAAAUUGACUUGAACGUGUGAUCAUAAAAAUGAUCUUUCAAGCGCUUUUUGCCGUGGGUAGAAAGUGCUUUUUUUAUUGA